CAUUCCCGGGUCCAUUUCCCGCCUUUUUCCCCUCACACAUUCCCGGGUCCAUUUCCCGCCUUUUUCCCCUCACACAUUCCCGGGUCCAUUUCCCGCCUUUUUCCCCUCACACAUUCCCGGGUCCAUUUCCCGCCUUUUUCCCCUCACACAUUCCCGGGUCCAUUUCCCGCCUUUUUCCCCUCACACAUUCCCGGGUCCAUUUCCCGCCUUUUUCCCCUCAUGCACCCACAGUCGCCAUGACCUGCCUGGCAUGAGGCUGCUGUGACAAACUCAUCGUGGGAUGAAGCUGUCAGGACGGAGUGUGUCACCCUCAGAGAGGUGUCCUGUGGCUCGUGGAGUUCCAUGACCAUGCCCAGACUGUGACCAGGGACUGAAGCAGCCAUGGCCCACCAGGGAAUGCUGAGCAGCUGCAGAAAAAAAAGGCAAAUGUUCUCAGACCCAUGAAAACAUGGUGGGAGAUGGCGACUGACAGCGACUGCAAGACGAGUGAAAUAAAAAUCAAAUUUCAA